UGUUCGAUAUCCAAUGUUCACAGCUCAGUUUCAUCAUAUAUUAAUAGAGAAUAUUGAAAUACCUAGUUGAAUUUCUCUUACUUGAGGGAGUAUGAGGUGACAGUCUCCUUUAUCUUUAUAAAUUUUUGAUUGAUCCAGAGCAUUCUUGUUUGAUAUUACAAAGCCAUUAGCUUUGUGUCUUAUUUUCCACAUCAGAAAGUUAAAAGAUUUUAAAUUAUUAAGAUCAUAUCUAAACGAUAACAUAUCUAUGUCAUGUCCCUUGAGCAGGGACCUCUGAAAAGUCAAAAGGCAACAUUAGGAAAAAAAAUAUCUUACCGGACCUUACAUGAGACCUUGAUGAAGCUUUUCUAGCUUCACAGUUGAUUCUUAGUUUCCAUGUUUUGCGUGUUGCGGUAUUUUCAGAUGUGUACCAUAUUGUGAUGAAGACAAGCAUUCAAACAUUUACUAGGUCUAGAUGUUUAGCUUUAAAAUCUUAGUCAGAAGUAUCCUGCACUCCAUUAAGGAAAUAGCCAACAACCAGAGGAACUCAGAAAUCCCUGUUUUUCCUUAUCCUGUCUUCAUUCACAUUUUGUCAUAUUCAUAUUUUGAGUACUUGGAGUAUUCACUUAUUUUCAAUGUUUGUAAACAAACCUGAGUUUUCCCUCAACAGAAAUUUUACCAAAAAGACUGGAAUGAGACCAAGCAGAAAGGCUAUGACUUCAAAGCAGAUGCCAUUGAAAUCAAGCAAGCCAAAGACUCCAGAGAUAUUUCCAGUGAGCAGCCAUUGUGUCGUGAUGCCUGGGAGAGAGAGAAGGCGAAUGUGAAUGUGCCAGCGGACACCCCAGGGAUGCUGCAGUCCAAGAUCAAUGCCGUACAGAUCAGUGAUAAACAUUGUAACCAAGCUUGAGAAGAUGUCAAGAUGAAGGGUUAUGACCUGCGGGAAGAUGCCAUCCCAAUUCAGCACGCCAGGGCUUCCAGGGAGAUCGCCAGUGAUGCCAUCUAUAAGGCUGACUUGCAGGGUCUCCUGAAGAGUUGAGAGUCAAAAAUGCUCAGAAGAUCCUACUAGACAGUGUCUAUCGGACACCUAUAGAGAGCCUCAGCCAAAGCACAGAGAAUUUUGGGACAAGGAUAAAACUUCAGUCCACCUCAUGCCAGAUACUCCAGAAAUUAAUCUCGCUGGAGCCAAUGCUUUUAAUAUGAACAAUAACCUGGUGGUUGUCCAAGUGGGAGAAAUAUCUCAGCAAGAAUCUGGGAGGCUGGCCGGGCUUCUGCUGGUACCAGAAGAUGUUGUAAACGCUGACAUCGUGGUCCCUGCUCAAGGUGCAAGGCAGGUGGAUUGUGGUUCCGAGGGAUGAGGACAUGGAUGGUGGCUGGUUCAGCACCGGCUGGGAGCCACCACCUGGGGACACAGAAACAUAUGGGCAUGGUGGGGGGCAUGCAGAGGAAGGCCGGGGAUGGGGCCGGGGUAGUGAACUCCGGGGUGUUCUCACCUAUGCAGUGUGCCAGAAGUGCCAGCAGGACAGGGAUCCAGGACAUGGUGUGGACGUGCUGGGCUGUUAGCUUUGCGCUGGUUCUGGGGCCUUCUCGGGGCUGGGCCAGCACCUUCCUGUGCCCUCCCAGGGGCGGGGCCGUUGCAUGCCUGCUUCCUGGCUGCCACCAUCCUGAACUUUCUUGAGUUGGCGGUUGGGGAACGGUCCCAUGGCAGCCUCUGUGGCUCUUUCCUUGGCCCCAGGGAAGUGUCUGGGGAGGAUGCACCUGCUGCGAGCUCACGGGCCAGUGCCCAGGAGGCCGGCCUGCAAGGUGGGGUCCCUGAGGUAGGGGAACCUCAACGUCCUCCUAAGGGAGCCGAACUGCACAGUAACAUGGUUCUUGUUCAGAUUUACAUGUCUGGUGAACCAGUAGAGACAAUAUAUCCUCAGGGUGGUGAAAACCCCUGCUUUGUGCAGAGAAAAUGCUGGGGCCCUGGGGUAAGGAGGAUACUCUGUCCCCUUCCAUGCUCCUGCCACUCCCUCCCACCAAACCCAGUCCUCUUCCCUCCUAGACUGGAGCAGCAGUGACUCACAGCUUCUGAGAAAGAAACACCAAUAGGGACUUGGGGACCCCCCCAUGUGGGGCCCAGGACAGGUGGGGGAAGAGGUAGAGAAGCCUUUGCCCCCAUCAGGUCCCCCCCGGGGCUUGGCCUCAGCCUUCCUAAUCUCUCUCCUCUUCACAAUAGUCUCCCCAGGGAAAGCAAUAAUCCCCGGGGUCCUGCGCCCUCUCCUUGGCCAGUCCCUGCACCUGCAGAAGUUCUGUGUGUCCCAUCCCUGCCUCACCUGAGUUUGACCCCAUCACCAAGCACUUCUAGAAGGCCUGAGGCCUGCUCUCUGUGUCCAUGCUGCCCACAAAACUAUGCAGGUUGUGCAGCUGGAGGCUGUCCGGAUGCUCAGAUAGAGACUUACGUCCCUAUUAAUCAAGGUUCUUCAGAGAAACAGAACCAAUGGGACAUAUACAAAGGAAGAGAUCUAUUAUGAGAAAUCACCUCAAUCAGGUAUGGAGAUUGAGAAGUCCCAGGAUGUGUGUCUUCGAGUCGUAGACCGUGUGUGUGUGUGUUUGUGUGUGUGUGUAACACAGUGGGGUAAUUCAGUCUGAGUCCAAAGGCUCAGGGGAGUUCAAAGAACCAGGGGAGCCCAUAGUGUAAAUCCCAGUCCAAGGACAGGAGAAGGCAAAUGUCCUUGCUCAGGAGACAGGCAGGAAGCAGAAAGGGACAAAGUCCCCUUCCUCCCCGUGUCUGUUCUAUUCAGGCCCUCCUGGACAGGAAGAUGCCCACCCACCUUGGCGAGGGCCACGGCCUUUAAUGAGUGCACUGGUUCAAAUGCUAAUUUAACUUAGAGACACCUUCACAGACACACCUAGAAGUUACAUUGAAUCUGAGCAUCCUUUGGAGGAGUCAAACUGACACAUGAAAUCAACUAUCACACAGUCUUACUCUGUGCACAUUCAUCAGUGAAUCUAGCAGAGGCACUACGUACAAAAUGUUUUUAUUCUAGGAAGAUACAUGAACGGGAUCUUGGGAAUGGGAUCAGGGUCUUGGAAUGAAAAAUAUACAAGGAUAUCCUUAUGAAGACUAUUAAAUUAAAAAGAAUGUUCCAGAAGGAGAAAACUAUAUGGGUCAGACAGAAAAUGAAGGGUGUGUGCAGAACCCUCCAGCAAGAUUCUUAGGAGGACAAAAGGUAGUACAUAAAGCCCUUGUCAGGGUGCCUGGCACAGGAGAGACUUCCAUUAAGAAGUAGUUACUUCAUCAGCUACCUGAUGCCAUUAGGAGAGAAGGUUGAGAACCUGCUCUCUCCACAAAACACGGUUCAGAGCAUGCCUCUGCAGACCUCUGGGGACCCUUUUGGUGCACCAAAACCCAAGGUAAAGGGUGGGGGGGGUCGUCAAGCUGAUCACUGGGGCAGGGCUGCCUUGCAGCCCCUAAUCCUUACACCAAGUGCUGGGACUUCUGCGUGCAAGGAUCCCUCCCUCGGGUUCAGAAGCUCUUUCUGCCCAAUUCCCAGAGGGACCCUCCCAGGGUCUAGCUGCCUCUGGGGUCCUCCAGGGUCACCCCCUCCUCCGUCUCCUCGUCACACCAGGCUGGCUACGAGCCGGUCCCAGAGUCUGGGCGCCCAGUCCACGGCCCGAUCUCAGUCCUCAAGGUUUUCAGGCCCAUGCUGGUGCUCCUCCCUCCUGCCCAGCACGCUGGCCACCCGCAACACGGGGGUGAGCAGACAAGUGAUCCCAGGCCCUGCCCACAGUCCUGCCCAGGUGACCAGUGUGAUGCCAUCAGGCCCCAUCCGGCCGCCCGAGAGGACUUCAGGGAGCAGGCCCUGGUCCACUUCCCACGCUCCGGCUCUGGCUACCUAAGAAGCACACGUUUAAUGCAAUCCCAUUCAAAAUACCAUGGACUUUCUUCACAGAGUUGGAACAAAUUAUUUUAAGAUUUGUGUGGAAUCAGAAAAGACUCUGAAUAGCCAGGGGAAUAUU